rnacentral:lncRNA from 1 species
UUUUUUUUUUUUUUUUUAAGCAAAAUAACAGUGUUCACAUUUGUACACAUCCCCUGCAUCGCCGCCUUUCCAAAAGUCGUUGGUCACUUGUGGGCGGGGCUGGGGGGGGCAGUGUCAGCCAGCAUUCAUUGGGUCUCUUCCACUGUGGCCUCUGUGACAACCACAAGGUGACAGGCUACACUGAGGGCCCAGUGGGUGACCUCCACACGUGUCUUUCUUUGAAGAGGCUGGUCUUUGAGGGUCAGCAGCACUCACGGUGAAUUCGGCCCCAAGGAACGCCCGUGCCCCUUUGCUCUUCCAGAGAGAGGAGAGGCCUGUUUGGGGGAUGGGCCUGUCACAGUCCCAUCCAGUCGGCUGCUCAAGGCUAAGGAGACCAGGCUGAGUCUCCAAGCAGAGGAUAGAGGGUGGGACUUGGGGUGUGUGAUGAGAUGGGCCCGGCGGGGAAGCCUGUCCCUGCUCCGUGUGGGUGGAAUGCGAGGCUUCUUUUCCACCUUGGAGAGGUGGAGGGGGCCCAGGGGCUGCCGAACAGGGAGGAGGGUUGGGUUAUGCCAGCGUUUGGUCCUCAUGUCAGCCCUCAAAGGGUUAAUGUUGCUUAAAAUCAGAAGGACCCUUGAAUAUCUCCAAAAUCACUCAUAUGCUGCGAAGCCUUAUGAAAACAGAGGUAGGGGAAUGCCUGUUGUGGCUCAGCGGGUUAAGAUCCCAACAUAGUGUCCAUGAGGAUGCAGGCUUGAUCCCUGGCCUCGCUCAGUGGGUUAAGGAUCAGGCGUUGCCACAAGCCUCUGUGUAGAUCGAAGAUGUGGCUGCGAUCUGGUGUGGCUGUGGCUGUGGCAUAGGUCUGCAGCUGCAGCUCUGAUUCAGCCCCUGGCCUGGGAACUUCCAUAUCCUGCAGGUGCAGCUGUUUUAAAAAAAAAAUAUAUAUAUAUAUAUAUAUCAGAAGUGGGGAGAAAUGAAGGUUCUUACUCCCUUGCCACACUCAUUCCAAAGCAGAAAAUGAUGGUGGAACCAUUGCCAAGCAGGUCUGGUUUUGAGAAUUUCGGUCAAGGGAGAAGUUACCCAGAGGAAGCCAUCCUGUUGAAGUGUGUGUGUGUGUGUGUGUGUGUGUGUGUGUGUGUGUGUAUUUUCCCUCCUAUGUAUCUUCUCCUAUCUCUCUGCUCUUUUGAUUUCUUUUCCAAUUUCUCUUCCUCUGUGUGUCUGUGUUCUCUGAACCUCUCUGCUUCCUCUGUCUCUCCUCUCUGUGCCUCUCUUUCUGUAUAUAAUUGAAUUCUCCUUAGAUCAAGGGUGUCAAUGCCACCAGUUUACCCUGAAUCUCAGCACUCUCGUCACCCAAACUACGGUGCUGUAAGUUUGCUCAAAGACUGGGAUUCCAGCUACCAUAAGCCGCCUGCUGCCAUCCCCAAGUUGAGUUUCUCUGUCUGGCAGGGUGAUUAAGCUGUCACCCCUUUUCAAUGAUAAUCCUUUCCUUUCAGCGCCCCCCCCCAUUUCAUUCACUCUUUCCCGCCUGAUAUUCCGUUGAAUCUCACAGCCGCUGCCCCGUCUCCAGUCCCUCUGCGUGCAGAAUGUAUUGUAGAUUGUAAGAAUGUAAUAUAUAUUUAUAAACUUACUGACUGUAAAUAUAAAGUUUGCCUUCCGGGGCUUUAUGGCUGUCCUUUGUCUUUCUAACACACUGACCCCCCCCCUCCCCCCAGGGGACCUGGCGUCCACAGCAAAUGACUCCAAAGCUGCGGCUUUGGGUAAAUGAAAAUGCAGAUUUAAGGAUCCCAGCACAAUCCAAUUACAUCAUGUAAUUCAGAGCUCACUGCUCUCUGCAUUGAGGCGAUGUUGACACAUGAUGACAGAGUAUGUUGUAUACUAAGUAUCUCUCCUGCAGGACCUGAAAGGAUUUGCAAAUAAAUCACACAUGCAAUUCUCUGCUAAAAGCCUGCUGACGGACGGCGGUAAGUGAGAAGCAUGGCAGGCGAGUGAACAUUCCAGCCUCCCUUUGGGCUUCAGAGAGGAAAAGGGCUCUGUCAUUUCUUUGGCUCUCGCUGGUACAUUCAGAUGUCAGCUUCCUGAGGCAGGUAUGUACCCAGGGUGAUUCUGGGCUGAGUUUAAGAAAAAAAAAAAAGUUGAUUUUUAGAUUCCUCUAUUAAUCAAAUCCCCAGAUGAUUCCCCAGAAAAGGAGGUUGCAUGAAAUCCUCAUCUUUGUGCAGAGUAUCAAGUGAUGGAUCAUUCGCUUUUUCAACCAGUAUUUAUUAAACAUCUACUGUAUGCUAGGAACUAUGGAAAACACUGGAGGUGAACAUCAGUAAAUAGGGCAGACCUGUGCUUACUCUUAAAGAGCUUACCUCCAGUGGAGGGGGAGGGGGGAAGGAGAUAAAGAGCAGACAAGAUAAUUUGCAGAUAGUCAUAAAUUGUAUGAAGAUGGGUUACAGAACAGACAAAGAUGGAGUAAACAUUGAACACGUUGGCUGUUUCACCUAGAAACCCUGGAUGCCUGUCUUCUCUCAAAAAUUCAGACGCUCUUUGGGAGUUCCCAUCAUGGCCCAGUGGUAACAAACCCAACUAGUAUCCAUGAAGACAUGGGUUCGAUCCCUGUCCUCGAUCAGUGCGUUAAGGAUCCAGCAUUUCCAUGACCUGUGCUGUAGGUCGCAGACGUGGCUUGGGUCCUGUGCUGCUGUGGCUGUGGUGUAGGCCAGAAACUGUAGCUCUGUUUCAACCCCUAGCCUGGGAACUCCCAUAUGCUGAAGGAGUGGCCCUAAAAAGAGGAAAAAAAGUUUCAGAUGCUCCGGCAAAAAGAGGCUUACAAUCCAACUUGGCCCUAAUGGGACCCUGUGGGUUGCUGCUGUUGCCUCCAGGCAGGAUGGGAGUGCCCCCCCAUACGGCCCAAGGUCCCUGAGAGCCCCCCCACACCCAGAUCAUCUCCCCAACUCAGGAGUGCAAAUUUCAUUUUGCCACUGCCUCACCGUUUUUCUUAUAAUAGCGAAAUAUUUCUCCCCAGCCAUGUCCCUACCCCAAAGGGCAGAAAACAGAGAUGGAGGAAACUGUGUGUUCUCCAGACAAAACUAGGAGAAGUAUAUUGUUGUAUGGAAGAGAGAGCCUCUGCAUCUCCCAGGAAAAUAUAAAAUGUUGUCUAAAGAUCACAACUGAUGGCGUUCCCUUCAUGGCUCAGCGGUUAACGAACCUGACUAGGAUCCAUGAGGAUGUGGGUUCGAUCCCUCACCUCGCUCAGUAGGUUAAGGAUCUGGCAUUGCCAUGAGCUGUGGUGUAGGUUGCAGAUGCGGCUCGGAUCUGGUGUAGGCCGGCGGCUACAGCUCCAAUUAGACCCCUAGCCUGGGAACCUCCAUGUGCCACGGGUGUGGCCCU